GAGGAUAUAGCUCAGUGGUAGAGCACAUGCUUAGCAUGCACAAGGUCCUGGGUUCAAUCCUUAGUGCCUCU
rnacentral:tRNA from 1 species